AAAUACUUAGUGGCGGACGGGUGAGUAACACGUGAGAAUCUACCUUCAGGACGGAGACAACAGUUGGAAACGACUGCUAACCCCCGAUGUACCGAAAGGGCAAAUAUUUAUAGCCUGAAGAAGAGCUCGCGUCCGAUUAGCUAGUUGGAGAGGUAAAAGCUCACCAAGGCGACGAUCGGUAGCUGGUCUGAGAGGACGAUCAGCCACACUGGGACUGAGACACGGCCCAG
rnacentral:rRNA from 1 species